CACAGAUCAAACAACAUUGGGAAAUUGGGAGAUUCACCUUUAACUCUGGCUAAGAAUUUCUACGAUCCAUAAUCCCGCUGCCGCAACAAUAAGGAAAAAUUGGACAGGGCAAGAUGAGAGCUGAUGGGUGAAACUAUGAUAGAUGGCAAACAUCUGGUUCUGGGGCAAAGGGAUACUGAUGGUUCCAUGACAGAAAGUACUCAAAUGUUGUCUGCUAGGGUACACUGUUUGCAUAUUUAUACAUAUUAUAGUUGCCUUGUAUUAAAUGUCCAAAAACUAUUGCCUCAUAUGUGCCUGAAUAGUAAGAAGUUGCUAAUUUGGGUAUAGAUGAUGUUUCCUUCCUUCUA